rnacentral:misc_RNA from 1 species
GAUGAAGAACGCAGCGAAAUGCGAUACGUAAUGUGAAUUGCAAAUUCAGUGAAUCAUCGAGUCUUUGAACGCACAUUGCGCCCCCUGGUAUUCCGGGGGGCAUGCCUGUCCGAGCGUCAUUGCUGCCCUCAAGCACGGCUUGUGUGUUGGGCCCCGUCCUCCGAUCCCGGGGGACGGGCCCGAAAGGCAGCGACGGCACCGCGUCCGGUCCUCGAGCGUAUGGGGCUUUGUCACCCGCUCUGUAGGCCCGGCCGGCGCUUGCCGAUCAACCCAAAUUUUUAUCCAGGUUGACCUCGGAUCAGGUAGGGAUACCCGCUGAACUUAAGCAUAUCAAUAAGCGGAGGA